rnacentral:rRNA from 1 species
AGAGUUUGAUCCUGGCUCAGGAUGAACGCUGGCGGCGUGCCUAAUACAUGCAAGUCGAACGAAGUUUCGAGGAAGCUUGCUUCCAAAGAGACUUAGUGGCGAACGGGUGAGUAACACGUAGGUAACCUGCCCAUGUGUCCGGGAUAACUGCUGGAAACGGUAGCUAAAACCGGAUAGGUAUACAGAGCGCAUGCUCAGUAUAUUAAAGCGCCCAUCAAGGCGUGAACAUGGAUGGACCUGCGGCGCAUUAGCUAGUUGGUGAGGUAACGGCCCACCAAGGCGAUGAUGCGUAGCCGGCCUGAGAGGGUAAACGGCCACAUUGGGACUGAGACACGGCCCAAACUCCUACGGGAGGCAGCAGUAGGGAAUUUUCGUCAAUGGGGGAAACCCUGAACGAGCAAUGCCGCGUGAGUGAAGAAGGUCUUCGGAUCGUAAAGCUCUGUUGUAAGUGAAGAACGGCUCAUAGAGGAAAUGCUAUGGGAGUGACGGUAGCUUACCAGAAAGCCACGGCUAACUACGUGCCAGCAGCCGCGGUAAUACGUAGGUGGCAAGCGUUAUCCGGAAUCAUUGGGCGUAAAGGGUGCGUAGGUGGCGUACUAAGUCUGUAGUAAAAGGCAAUGGCUCAACCAUUGUAAGCUAUGGAAACUGGUAUGCUGGAGUGCAGAAGAGGGCGAUGGAAUUCCAUGUGUAGCGGUGAAAUGCGUAGAUAUAUGGAGGAACACCAGUGGCGAAGGCGGUCGCCUGGUCUGUAACUGACACUGAGGCACGAAAGCGUGGGGAGCAAAUAGGAUUAGAUACCCUAGUAGUCCACGCCGUAAACGAUGAGAACUAAGUGUUGGAGGAAUUCAGUGCUGCAGUUAACGCAAUAAGUUCUCCGCCUGGGGAGUAUGCACGCAAGUGUGAAACUCAAAGGAAUUGACGGGGGCCCGCACAAGCGGUGGAGUAUGUGGUUUAAUUCGAAGCAACGCGAAGAACCU